CUGGGGGCGCCAGUAGAAGAUGGCGGCCUGGGCGGGUAGCAACGGGGACGCCGCGGCCUUGCCGGUGGGGAAGGCGGCAGUUGAUCGUAUGAUCAGAGAGAACAGCCACAUUUUCACAGACGCUCAGUGUAAAGUGUGCAGUGCAGUGCUCAUCUCAGAGUCCCAGAAGCUAGCUCAUUACCAGAGCAAAAAACAUGCAAACAAAGUGCGGCGGUACAUGUCGAUUCACGGCGAGGAGGAGCUCCGUCAGGGGAAGAAGAUAAAGCUGGAAACCAAGCAGGAGAGCAGCAAUGGAGAUGACAGGAACAAAUGCUGCCCCAUCUGUAACAUGACCUUUUCCUCUCCCGUUGUGGCCAUGUCUCACUACUUAGGCAAGACUCAUGCCAAGAACCUGAAGCUGAAGCAACAGUCCCCCAGAGUGGAAGUAACGAUGCCUCCACAGAAAUGCCCGGCUAACUUUCCUCCCUCUGCUGUAUCUUCCAACGAGGAGAACCAGAGCACUUCUGACCCAGACAAGUUCUGCAGCCUCUGCCAUGCCACUUUCAACAAUCCACUCAUGGCAAAACAGCAUUAUGUAGGCAAGAAACACAGAAAGCAAGAGACCAAACUCAAGCUGAUGGCACACUAUGGUCGUACUCCUGACGCGCCUGCAUCCUCCUCCAUGGCUGGGAAGGGGUACCCCUGCAACACAUGUAAUAUAGUACUGAAUUCCAUAGAGCAGUACCAAGCUCACAUCAGCGGCUUCAAACACAAGAAUCAGAUGCCAGGAGCAGUGCCCAGCGUAGGACGGUUCCCAAGGCAGCAGUAUGUUCGGGAAGAGUCAACUGCCCCCGGGGGCUACAGUUACUUCAGCCAGGACUUCUAGAGCAAUCUGCAGCCCUGUUCUUGGAGCUGACAGGGGCCCAAGAACGAGCAUUCUUUGCCAGCCCACAGUGGCUUCAUUAUCCCUCUGGAUAAGCAAAGCCAUUCCCUCCCACGUGCGCCUGUUGAUCAGCCCCAAGGCUGGACAUCUCUUUGACGAAGGAUCCAGCAGAAGCAGACGUUGGACAGCAGGACCUUGCUCCCCAAGAGCGGUUCUCAUUGUGCAGUCUCUUCCUGUGUGGCUGGUGGGGCGAGGAUGUGUCUGGUACAGGCAGGGUCCAACAGCUGCAAAUAGCCUGUCUCAAGGACACCACCUCCCUCACCUAGAACAAACAGCAUGGAAUUCCUGCGUCUGAUGAGCCAACAUCCUGUGCCAGGGGGUGUCUGUCACCGAAUGAAGGCUCCUGGCUCUCACAGGGAAAUGGCUAGGAGCUGGGUUGUCCAGGGCAGUUGUGAGAGACUACGUCCUGUUCUUCACAGGCUUGAGACCGUGAGUGGUGGGACAGACGGCAGAGCCGUGCUGGCGUUCGGCAUGUGUAUAGCCCACUCAUAAUGAGACAAUGUUUUCAUGCAUUGAGACCAGACUUAGCCUCGUCCAGGGUCUCCUCAUUCCUGCCCGGCUGUGCCCAGGACUCUGCACCAUAUGCCCAGGCGUCGAGCUUGCCAGCUGCCCUAUGGGGUGACAGCAUUCCUCUGCACGGUGCUGCCAUGCUGAGAGAUGCACUCAGCAUACACCCAGCUGUGUGAGGUGGCUAGUUUAUCCAUGACUGAUGGGUCAAGCAGGUAUCUUGAGGUACUGGACUCUGGCCUUGAUUCUUCAGGGCUUGGCUCUGUGCUGAGGCCUUGUCCUGUGUGCAAGGUGACCGCACAGCACACAAGGGGCAUGUGCAAUGUGAGAGAGCAGAGGGGGAAUGUGGCUUCCUUGCUUUGCUCGGAGUGUAGAAUCUGGAUUAUCCUGCCCUGAUUUGCAUUUUAUUUGUGGUAGCCAAGAGGCUAUGUCUUGAUAAGAGAGUGUUUCACAGCUUGAAGGACAGGCAAAUACCAGUACUGGGAUACCUAUACCUUGAUCCUCACACUGGCUCAGCUGGGGGGAGGGAUGGGCUGACUUCCCUGCAUUUCCAUUUGCUUCAUGCCCAUUUGAAAAAACCACCUACCCCCUUGGGUAUCCUGAGGGAAAAUGUGCAGCUCCCCCAGGCUCAAUAUCCUGAGAACUUGCUUCCCCAGUGGAUGGUUAUGGCUGGCAGCUGCCUCAAGCCAGGCUCCAGUAAGGCCUCCUCCCGGCCCAGUGCAGAGCUGGGAAGGGGUGUCAUGUAACCUGUGUGUUUCCUUGGCUGCCUCCCUUGGAGGGGGGCAUGGGAGCAUUUUUACAGCACUCUGGCCACUUUGCUUCUCCUUGGGCAGGCACCUAGGGCUCCCUAUGCUGCCGGGGGUGGGAAGCCUGCUCCAUGGGGAAACGCCGCUCUCCACCAGGGCCAGGAGGCUGGCGUACUAUCACCCCUGUGAUUAGCUUAUCAACGGCCUGACCUCAGAGCCAAGCCUUGCAAUGAACUGCUGCCAACUGGGUUUCCAGGGGGCCUUACUACAGCCAGCUGAGGGCCCUGGGCUUGCUCUGUGGGGCUCGAGCUGAAAGUGCUGGCCAGGGAGCGAUCUGCUGUAACUAAGCCAGCCAAGUGCCUGCAGCUGCCAGGGAGUGGAAAGCCUGCCUGAGGAGAUGCUCUUGGCACUGUUCGGAUGCAGGGCACAAACCCGAAAUUGGCUGAGAGUUCCCUGCUGAGACUUCACCAGCCAGCCAGCCCUCCACUGUAAACUGCGGCCCUUCCCCAGCCUGGCCAUUGAGUCAGACCCCUGGGUGCACUGCUCUGUACGCCAAGAAUCUCAGCAAUGCUCAGGCUGCUCCCACCCCCUGAGGGCCAGUCGCUUACCUCUGGGCUAUUGCCCCCUAGAUCUCACAUUAAGGACAAGGCCUGUCGCCAAGCCUGUAAUUAUUUACACAUUUAUUAUACAGGGAAAAGACAGGAGUUAUUUGUCAUGGAGUCACCAGGCGAUGCUCUGGACCUGCUCCCAACAAAACCAGGCAGGACUCUGGGGAGUCUCCUGU